GACGAACGCUGGCGGCGUGCUUAACACAUGCAAGUCUAACGGAAAGGCCCUGCUUUUGUGGGGUGCUCGAGUGGCGAACGGGUGAGUAACACGUGAGUAACCUGCCCUUUACUUUGGGAUAACUUCAGGAAACUGGGGCUAAUACCUGAUAUGAGCUCCUGCUGCAUGGUGGGUGUUGGAAAGUUUCGGCGGUUGGGGAUGGACUCGCGGGUUAUCAGCUUGUUGGUGGGGUAGUGGCUUACCAAGGCUUUGACGGGUAGCCGGCCUGAGAGGGUGACCGGCCACAUUGGGACUGAGAUACGGCCCAGACUCCUACGGGAGGCAGCAGUGGGGAAUAUUGCACAAUGGGCGGAAGCCUGAUGCAGAAACGCCGCGUGCGGGAUGACGGCCUUCGGGUUGUAAACCGCUUUCGCCUGUGACGAAGAGUGAGUGACGGUAAUGGGUAAAGAAGCACCGGCUAACUACGUG
rnacentral:rRNA from 1 species